GGAGCCUCUUCUCGGCUUGGAAAGCCUGUCCUGACUCCUCCACCCACAGAAACCUGUCUCCCAAAUCCUUGCCUGGCCUGGCCCUCAGACAAGCAUCCACCUGCAAUGCUGAGCGGGGUGGCCCCAGAGCAGCAGAGCCAAGAAGGAGCAGGGGAGGGAGUACUCACAGCAAUGGAGACAGCGCUGAUGACAGCUCCCAGGAGCCCUGUUUGCUGCGAGACUGUUACCUGCCAGAAGACAGUGGAUGCCAGUGUCUGGUUGGGCAAGAGAAGACCGACUACCUAUGAGCAAGAGAGAAGAAAUGCUGAAAAAGGCAAAAGAAACAUCCUAUGCUUUUGCAAAGAAAAAAUACGCUACCACAAAUGAGUGAGCUGGAUCUGUACAAACUGAUGUGGUAUGCCGUGUACAUACAAACUGAGGUUCAUUGAGGGAGAGGCUGUGUGAUGGGAAAAAAGCAAGUUGCAG
rnacentral:lncRNA from 1 species